CGCAGCUGCGACCCAUCUGCACGAAUGUCCCAGGUCCCUGGAGCGACGACGGCCGCUGCCUGAGCUGGAAAGAGGAAUGCCCGCUCCUGAGCAAGCCUCACUGGUGGAGGAGGGGCAGCCACAGAACCACCAGGAAGCUGUCUCCACUGGGCCAGGCAUGGAACCCGAGACCACAGCCACCACUAUUCUAGCUUCCGUGAAGGAGCAGGUAUUUACAUCCCUGAGUACAGUGGGGUGACUGGCAUGUAGAGCUGCUCCAGGUGCCAGUCAGAAUCGGAACAUGCAGGAUACUUGUGCGUC